GACGAACGCUGGCGGCGUGCUUAACACAUGCAAGUCAAGGGGGCCCAGCAAUGGGCAACCGGCGAACGGGUGCGUAACACGUGAGCAACCUACCGAACUGUGGGGGAUAGCCGGCCUAACGGCCGAGUAAUACCGCAUACGCUUUCUAAAAGGCAUUUUUUGGAAAGGAAACCUACGGGACGAGAUCGAGGGGCGUCGCGGCCUAUCAGCUAGUUGGCGAGGUAACGGCUCACCAAGGCAACGACGGGUA
rnacentral:rRNA from 1 species